ACAGAGGGGGCAAGCGUUGUUCGGAAUUACUGGGCGUAAAGGGCUCGUAGGUGGCCAACUAAGUCAUACGUGAAAUCCCUCGGCUUAACCGGGGAACUGCGUCUGAUACUGGUUGGCUUGAGUUUGGGAGAGGGACGCGGAAUUCCAGGUGUAGCGGUGAAAUGCGUAGAGAUCUGGAGGAACACCGAUGGCGAAGGCAGCCUUCUGGGCCAACACUGACGCUCAUGCACGAAAGCGUGGGGAGCAAACAGGA
rnacentral:rRNA from 1 species